AACGAACGCUGGCGGCAUGCCUAACACAUGCAAGUCGAACGAUGGUCUUCGGAUCAUAGUGGCGCACGGGUGCGUAACGCGUGGUAAUUUGCCCUUGGGUUCGGAAUAACAGUUGGAAACGACUGCUAAUACCGGAUGAUGUCGAUAAGACCAAAGGUUUAUCGCCCGAGGAUGAGCGCGCGUCGGAUUAGCUAGUUGGUGGGGUAAAGGCCUACCAAGGCGACGAUCCGUAGCUGGUCUGAGAGGCUGAUCAGGCACACUGGGGCUGAGCCACGGACCAGACUCCUACGGGAGGGAGGAGUGGGGAAUGGUGGAAAAUGGGGGCAAGCAUGAACCAGCAAGGCCGCGAGAGUGAUGAAGGCCUUAGGGUUGUAAAGCUCUUUUACCCGGGAAGAUAAUGACGGUACCGGGAGAAUAAGCCCCGGCUAACUCCGUG
rnacentral:rRNA from 1 species